rnacentral:rRNA from 1 species
GACGAACGCUGGCGGCGUGCUUAACACAUGCAAGUCGAACGGAAAGGCCCUGCUUUUGUGGGGUGCUCGAGUGGCGAACGGGUGAGUAACACGUGAGUAACCUGCCCUUGACUUUGGGAUAACUUCAGGAAACUGGGGCUCAUACCGGAUAGGAGCUCCUGCUGCAUGGUGGGGGUUGGAAAGUUUCGGCGGUUGGGGAUGGACUCGCGGCUUAUCAGCUUGUUGGUGGGGUAGUGGCUUACCAAGGCUUUGACGGGUAGCCGGCCUGAGAGGGUGACCGGCUACACUGGGACUGAGAUACGGCCCAGAGUCCUACGGGAGGCAGCAGUGGGGAACAUUGCACAAUGGGCGGAAGCCUGAUGCAGCAACGCCGCGUGCGGGAUGACGGCCGACGGGUGGUAAACCGCUUUCGACUGUGACGAAGCGUGUGUGACGGUAAUGGGUAAAGAAGCACCGGCUAACUACGUG